AGUGGCGAACGGGUGAGUAACACGUGGGCAAUCUGCCCUUCACUCUGGGACAAGCCCUGGAAACGGGGUCUAAUACCGGAUAACACUCUGUCCCGCAUGGGACGGGGUUAAAAGCUCCGGCGGUGAAGGAUGAGCCCGCGGCCUAUCAGCUUGUUGGUGGGGUAAUGGCCUACCAAGGCGACGACGGGUAGCCGGCCUGAGAGGGCGACCGGCCACACUGGGACUGAGACACGGCCCAGACUCCUACGGGAGGCAGCAGUGGGGAAUAUUGCACAAUGGGCGAAAGCCUGAUGCAGCGACGCCGCGUGAGGGAUGACGGCCUUCGGGUUGUAAACCUCUUUCAGCAGGGAAGAAGCGCAAGUGACGGUACCUGCAGAAGAAGCACCGGCUAACUACGUGCCAGCAGCCGCGGUAAUACGUAGGGUGCGAGCGUUGUCCGGAAUUAUUGGGCGUAAAGAGCUCGUAGGCGGCUUGUCACGUCGGAUGUGAAAGCUCGGGGCUUAACCCCGAGUCUGCAUUCGAUACGGGCUAGCUAGAGUGUGGUAGGGGAGAUCGGAAUUCCUGGUGUAGCGGUGAAAUGCGCAGAUAUCAGGAGGAACACCGGUGGCGAAGGCGGAUCUCUGGGCCAUUACUGACGCUGAGGAGCGAAAGCGUGGGGAGCGAACAGGAUUAGAUACCCUGGUAGUCCACGCCGUAAACGUUGGGAACUAGGUGUUGGCGACAUUCCACGUCGUCGGUGCCGCAGCUAACGCAUUAAGUUCCCCGCCUGGGGAGUACGGCCGCAAGGCUAAAACUCAAAGGAAUUGACGGGGGCCCCGCACAAGCAGCGGAGCAUGUGGCUUAAUUCGACGCAACGCGAAGAACCUUACCAAGGCUUGACAUAUACCGGAAAGCAUCA
rnacentral:rRNA from 1 species